rnacentral:lncRNA from 1 species
AGCAACAGAAGUUACCAUUACAAUCUAACCCGAGUUCAUUGGGCUAACAGACAGUACAUGCCUUGGUCUUUACACAGACUGCAAGAGUAAGAUUGCCUGCUUGAAUUCUCACUCUGCAUCUGACAAGUUAUAAGACCUUGACCAAAUUACUUCUCUGUACUUCAGUAUUUUUAUAGCAUAAUAGUUUAUGCGUAUUAAAGAAUAAAAUAAUGAUAUAUCCCAGAUGUCUUUGUGAAUAUUUAAAAUAUUAAUUAGAGCACAGAAGAGUGUUGAGGAAUAGCACUGAAAUGUCAGUUCUGAUGUAGUGGUGGUCAUGAGUAGGCCCAAGGGAUCGAGUGAAUGCAGUAUCUUUGCCAAGGAAAUCAGAAGCUGUUCCAGAGUAGAGGUACUCAUCUGAGAGGGAGAAAAAAGUACACAGAACUUUUAAGAGUACAGCAGUAGAUGCUAUUUAACAUGUACAAAUUUCACAGCAUGACACCAAAGAUGUUUGUUUCAGUGAAUUUUUCAAAUGGAAGUAGUAAUGUACUCAUCAAUACAUUUAGUCUCCACAAUUAUCAAUAUCGAAAUCACCACUAAGAACACAUAUUUCUUGAGCUUUCAUGACUAACUUAUUGAGCCUAAUAAAACCAACUUCAUCUUUUAAGAAAUAGAUUUGCUAUAAUAAUCAUACUUUCAGGAUAAUGAUUACAAUUUAUAUAACUAAGCAUCUUCAACUAUGUCAAAUGACUUAAACCCUGUAAUAGUUUUUAAAAUUAUAGUAACAUAAAAGUGUUCUAAGGCGGGCAGUUCAUUUUCAAGUU